ACCGGCACACUACAACGCCACACACGCAUCGACACCGGUUUCGGGGUGCCCUGCCCGCUUUUCAAGCGCCAGGGUCGAGGUCGGGGAUGCGUGGAGGUUCAAC
rnacentral:sRNA from 1 species